UACGUAGGGGGCAAGCGUUGUCCGGAAUCAUUGGGCGUAAAGCGCGUGUAGGCGGUCCGGUAAGUCCGCUGUGAAAGUCCAGGGCUCAACCCUGGAAUGCCGGUGGAUACUGUCGGGCUCGAAUCCGGAAGAGGUGAGUGGAAUUCCUGGUGUAGCGGUGAAAUGCGCAGAUAUCAGGAGGAACACCGAUGGCGAAGGCAGCUCUCUGGGCCCAAACUGACGCUCAGGUGCGAAAGCGUGGGGAGCGAACGGG
rnacentral:rRNA from 1 species